GCUGGGCAUGGUGGCGUGUGUCUGUAAUCCCAGCUACUCAGGAGGCUGAGGAAGGAGAAUUGCUUGAACCCGGGAGGUGGAGGUUGCAGUGAGCUGAGAUCAGGCCAUUGCACUACAGCCUGGGCGACAAGAGCAAGACUCUGUCUCAAAAAAAAAAAAAAAAAAAUUGAGACAGAGUCUUGCUCUGUUGCCCAGGCUGGAGUGCAGUGGCAUGAACAGAAGGCUCACUGCAGUCUCGACAUCCUGGGCUCAAGCAAUCCUCCUGCCUCAU
rnacentral:SRP_RNA from 1 species